rnacentral:rRNA from 1 species
AGAGUUUGAUUCUGGCUCAGGACGAACGCUGGCGGCGUGCCUAACACAUGCAAGUCGAACGGAACUUUUUUAAAGGAUUUCUUCGGAAUGAAUUUGAUUAAGUUUAGUGGCGGACGGGUGAGUAACGCGUGAGUAACCUGCCUCUAAGAGGGGAAUAACAUUCUGAAAAGAAUGCUAAUACCGCAUAACAUAUAUUUAUCGCAUGGUAGAUAUAUCAAAGAUUUAUCGCUUAGAGAUGGACUCGCGUCCGAUUAGUUAGUUGGUGAGGUAACGGCUCACCAAGACCGCGAUCGGUAGCCGGACUGAGAGGUUGAACGGCCACAUUGGGACUGAGACACGGCCCAG